ensembl:misc_RNA Metazoa_SRP Metazoan signal recognition particle RNA
GCCAUGUGUGGUGGCACACGUCUGUAGUCCCAGCUACUUGGGAGGCUGAGUCAGGAGGAUGGCUUGAGCCCAGGAGUUCUAGGCUAUUGUGAACUAUGUGAUCGGGCAUCUGCACUAAGUUUGGCAUCAAUAUGGUGACGUUUUGGGAGGUGGGGACCACUAGGUUGCCUAAGGUGUCUGAGGAGGGGUUUCCAGGUUGGAAAUGGAGCAGCUGGACACUACUGAGCUGAUCAGUAGUGCGACUGCUCCUGUGAGUAGCCGCUGCACUCCAGCUUGGGCAGCAUAGCGAGACCCCACUUCU